rnacentral:rRNA from 1 species
CGUCUAGGCGGCUUGGCAAGUCGGAGGUGAAAUCCCUCGGCUCAACCGAGGAACUGCCUCCGAAACUGCCGGACUUGAGCCCGGAGAGGGUAGCGGAAUUCCCAGUGUAGCGGUGAAAUGCGUAGAUAUUGGGAGGAACACCAGUGGCGAAGGCGGCUACCUGGACGGGUACUGACGCUGAAGCGCGAAAGCGUGGGGAGCAAACA